AAGUCGUAACAAGGUAUCCGUAGGUGAACCUGCGGAUGGAUCAUUAAGAGGUUAGCAAACAUCCUGUUUGACAAACCACUGUGGUACGAUGCAUGUUGUUUUGGCGGCGUGGUGUGCGUGCAAGCGCGCAUGCGCCGCCAGCAUACAAACCCAAUCAACAAUUUUAUACUACUCAGCUGUUCUGAUUACACUAUUUCGAUAGCAUAAUCCUAUACAACUGCUAGCAACGGAUCACUCGGCUCUC
rnacentral:misc_RNA from 1 species